CAGGAAAGGACGGGCUGCCUGGACACCCUGGGCAGAGAGGAGAAGUUGGUUUCCAAGGUAAAAUGGGUCCACCUGGGCCUCCUGGAGUUGUUGGACCUCAGGGUCCAUCAGGAGAGACCGGCCCCUUGGGUGAGCGUGGCCACCCUGGACCCCCAGGUCCACCUGGAGAGCAGGGACUUUCUGGUCCCUCAGGAAAGGAAGGUACCAAAGGAGACCCUGGACCCCCCGGAGGGCCUGGGAAAGAUGGGCCACCGGGACUGAGAGGCUUCCCUGGAGAGAG